rnacentral:rRNA from 1 species
UGACGUAGGGUCCGAGCGUUGUCCGGAAUUACUGGGCGUAAAGAGCUCGUAGGUGGUUUGCCGGCGUUGUUCGUGAAAACUCACAGCUUAACUGUGGGCGUGCGGGCGAUACGGGCAGACUUGAGUACUGCAGGGGAGACUGGAAUUCCUGGUGUAGCGGUGGAAUGCGCAGAUAUCAGGAGGAACACCCUGAGGUGAAGACGGGUUGCUGGGCUGACACUGACGCUGGAGGCGCGAAAGCUAGGGUAGCAAACGGG